AGCAGCAUGGCGCAGUGGUUUGAGCAUUGGGCUAUGACUCUGGAGACCAGGGUUCAAUUCCCAGCUCAGCCA
rnacentral:tRNA from 1 species